rnacentral:rRNA from 1 species
UUUAUCAGAGAGUUUGAUCCUGGCUCAGGAUGAACGCUGGCGGCGUGCUUAACACAUGCAAGUCGAACGGGAAACCUAUUAUUGAAACUUCGGUCGAUUUAAUUUGUUUCUAGUGGCGGACGGGUGAGUAACGCGUGGGUAACCUGCCCUAUACAGGGGGAUAACAACCAGAAAUGGUUGCUAAUACCGCAUAAGCGCACGGGACCGCAUGGUCCAGUGUGAAAAACUCCGGUGGUAUAGGAUGGACCCGCGUUGGAUUAGCUAGUUGGUGGGGUAACGGCCCACCAAGGCGACGAUCCAUAG